CAAUAAAAGAAAAAACCUACGCUACUAGAGAUCAAUCAAUUUGUUUGUAUUAUAAUGAAUCCUUUUCUACUUUCUUUCUUUCUUUUUGUUUUUUCCUCCUCCUCCUC
rnacentral:ribozyme from 1 species